rnacentral:lncRNA from 1 species
AGGAAAGGAAAGAAACCAAUCGAUCUUAAGGGGAGAUUUCGAUCUUGGUGUGGAGGUUGUGAGCUGAUCAAUAAGGUAUGGGUUUAGAAUAUGUUCUUAUGAUUUUCUGUAAAUCUUUGGGGUUUAAGUAGUAUGAUUCUAUUGAUAGAUAGAAAUAGAAACAGGAUUAGGUUAUGUGUUAUAUAAAAUAGUUCAACAAGUGAUACAUAGAUAUCCAUUGAAGAUGGGAUGGAUUGAUAGGUGGAUUAGAGUAUGACCAUUUCUAUAAAAAAUCAGAUGAUAUUCAGAUAUUGGAGUUGGAUCCUAUUUACUGUUUGGUGUUGCAUUUUAUUUAGAAUUAAAUUUGCUGGAUUUAAUCUAAUUCUAUCAAAUUUUCAGAGAUUUGAAGGUGGGUGUUGUUGUCAUGAUUUUAAAGAUUUUAGAUAUUUUUAUGAUUGAUUUCAUAACUAAUUCUUCGAAGAUUCCGUAGUGUUAUUAUCUUAUCCUUGUGAUUGAAAUUGAUUGUGUUUGUUCUCGAGUAUUGUCAUUUAUUCUGAUUUGAUUUUUAUUUUGAUUCGCUUAUUUUUUUAUUAUUCCAGAGUUGUCGGGAGUAUUAUUAUGUGAUGAUUUAAUCCAAAAUAUGGUGAGUUUAUACUGUUUUGAGAAGGGGGAGUGAAGUAUAUUUUUUUUUGGAUUUUAUUUGACAACGAAUGAGGGAUUAAGGAGUCAUGAGUAGGAAUUUUCUCGGUCUUUAUAUUUUAUGUUUUCAUCGGUAAAAAUUCUGUUUUGAUGUUAAGUUCGAAGGAUGACGAUGUUGAAUGAUAUUACGAAGGUCUAUAAAAUGAUAUGAGAAACACGAUAUGACAUGACAUGAUAUGAUAUGAAUCUCAUGAUGAGAUGAACAAUAUGACAAGAAUUAGGCUACAAAUAGUCGUUAAAUAGUUUGUUUAAUUGCAGUUAUUGAUACUUUUAUGGUUGUUUAUAGGUGAUAAGAAUGAAUACUGGUAUAUUAUUUCUUAUGUGGAAUCAUAAGUACAGAUUUCCAUACUGAGUCAGUUGAGACUCACCCAUUUUGCUUUGCUAUGUUAUGUCGUGUUAUAAAAUUUAUAGGAUGGGGACGUUGAUGAAGCCACAUUGCAUGGAUACAGGAGGGUGGAGCAGAGUUAACAUUAGGAGUAGUGGUGCUUCAUCCUGAUGAAUAUUAUGAACUCCGUUGAUUGCUGUUUAUUAUUUAUAAUAAUGUUCUAGAGUCUUACUAGUAAAUGAUGAUGGUCUGGAC